rnacentral:rRNA from 1 species
CGCGUAGGUAACCUGCCUUGUAGCGGGGGAUAACUAUUGGAAACGAUAGCUAAUACCGCAUAACAAUGGAUGACCCAUGUCAUUUAUUUGAAAGGGGCAAAUGCUCCACUACAAGAUGGACCUGCGUUGUAUUAGCUAGUAGGUGAGGUAACGGCUCACCUAGGCGACGAUACAUAGCCGACCUGAGAGGGUGAUCGGCCACACUGGGACUGAGACACGGCCCAGACUCCUACGGGAGGCAGCAUG